rnacentral:rRNA from 1 species
GUCUAUGGGCAUACCACCCUGAAUGUGCCCAAUCUCCUCAGAUCUCAGAAGCUGAGCAUGACUGGACUGACAAUACUUGGAUGGAAGACCUAUUAAGUCAUUCUUCUUUAUCU